GCACCGCUAGCUCAAUUGGCAGAGCAACUGACUCUUAAUCAGUGGGUUCGGGGUUCGAUUCCCUGGCGGUGCA
rnacentral:tRNA from 2 species